AACGGGUGCGUAACACGUGAGGAACAUAUCUAUCGGCGGGGGAUAGCCGGCCCAACGGCCGGGUAUUACCCCGUACGCUCUCCGGGGGGCAUCUCCUGGGGAGGAAAGCAGCAAUGCACCGAUAGAGUGCCUCGCGGCCUAUCAGCUAGUUGGUGAGGUAACGGCUCACCAAGGCGACGACGGGUAGCUGGUCUGAGAGGAUGAUCAGCCACAUUGGGACUGAGACACGGCCCAGACUCCUACGGGAGGCAGCAGUGGGGAAUCUUGCGCAAUGGGCGAAAGCCUGACGCAGCGACGCCGCGUGUGGGAUGAAGGUCUUCGGAUCGUAAACCACUGUCGCGAGGGACGAAUACAUUGACGGUACCUCGAAAGGAAGCACCGGCUAACUCUGUGCCAGCAGCCGCGGUAAUACA
rnacentral:rRNA from 1 species